rnacentral:lncRNA from 1 species
UUUUUCUAGGUUCAAAAGAAAGAGGAGUGAAGAGGAGUAAAACAUACAUCUAUUAUAAAGCAAGAAGGUUAAAUAAAUGGAAGCUUUUUAUUUUUCUUUCUCUGCCUAAGGGAGAUGCCAUUGCCUUUCAUCAAGAAAACAUGUCAGGAGAUCUAAAUGUAACAAAUACUCCCCCAAAGAAUUGGAACUUCAGCAAUGGGAAGAAGCAGAAGCUCUGUCAAUCUUAACAAAUUAACAGGCAGAUUGGUGAGUGUGAGCUUUCUCAUCCAGUAAGCCUUGGUGCCCUUGAGGAUAUUGUGUGGAUUGGCACUUUUGAAUUGUGAAUGAUAAAAUGUUUUUUCCCUUAAGACUGCAAUACAAGAAAAGGAAAAAACUUAAGAAAAGUCAGAUCUCAGAUGGACGAGGGUGGAAUCUUUGUUUAUAAAUAAAAACAGCAGCUGUCUUUUUUUUUUUUUUUUUUUUUUUUGGUGGAUCUAUGUUAUUUGAUAAAUCAGGGAUUGAAAUUAUUAUCAGAAGGGGAGUGUUUGGCCUACACAGAGAAGAACUUGGAGUUGAAAUCAUGUUAAUGAAGCAACACAAUGUAAUCAGUGAGUAGGUAUUAUGUCUUAGAUGUCUAAGAAAAUUUGUCCACAAAAACAUAUAAACAAAAGAGUUGUUUUUCUUGGUUCCCUAGUAGAAACCUAAAUCUAUUUUUUAAAUCUACCCAAAAAUCUACUCCCCCUGAUUCUCGUGAGGAUGUUCUCAUUUUCUUUUGGGAAACUGUCUAUCAUCCAUUAUCUAUUUUGGUAUUUCAGGUGGUUGCUGCGUGGUAGAAGCUUGGCUCAUCAGAAAGUUCCAGCCUCCAACCACAGUUGAAACGGCCCACAUCCAUUGGAGCAAAGAAAAAGGGGAAUUGGGACUGAAGUCUGGACCUUGUGACUUCCAUAACAGUGUUUCUUCUGCCUGCACCAGAGAGCCAAGGAGACCCCAGGACCCUGGAGGUCUGAGGGCUUUCUCAGAACUGUCCAACUUUUCAGCCACAAGGGUGCUGCUAUCUACUAAGGAUGGGGAAGAAUGCAUGGUGCUCUAAAUGCUAUGUGUUGCUCCACUCAGAAUGAGCAAAUAUGUAAGUAUUUAAAUUUUGUUUAAUUCAGGCAAAAUGUAUAUUUGAUAAAUAAUCCCAAUUCACCAAGGAAUCAGCAAACUUGUUUCCUUAUUCAGGUGUUUUGAAGCAAAAAUUAUCUUUGUCUUGAUUUUUUUUUUCUUUUUGCUUUCUCUUUUCUCUUCCACAAUUUUAGUCUUGACUAGGUGUCGGUAGAGACUAUUGAUUAAAAGGUCUUAUAACACUCCCUUUGGACUUUGAACUUCUAGAAGUCAGGAAUUGUGUUUUAUAAUCUUUGUAUCUC